rnacentral:rRNA from 1 species
GACGAACGCUGGCGGCGUGCUUAACACAUGCAAGUCGAACGGAAAGGCCCUGCUUUUGUGGGUUUCUCGAGUGGCGAACGGGUGAGUAACACGUGAGUAACCUGCCCUUGUCUUUGUGAGAACUUCAGGAAACUGGGGCUAAUACCGGAUAGGAGCUCCUGCUGCAUGGUGGGGGUUGGAAAGUUUCGGCGGUUGGGGAUGGACUCGCGGCUUAUCAGCUUGUUGGUGGGGUAGUGGCUUACCAAGGCUUUGACGGGUAGCCGGCCUGAGAGGGUGGCCGGCGACAUUGGGACUGCGAUAGGGCCCAGACUCCUACGGGAGGCAGCAGUGGGGAAUAUUGCACAAUGGGCGGACGCCUGAUGCAGCAACGCCGCGUGCGGGAUGCCGGCCUUCGGGUUGUAAACCGCUUUCGCCUGUGCCGAAGCGUGAGUGACGGUAAUGGGUAAAGAAGCCACGGCUAACUACGUG